CUACGGAGGGUGCAAGCGUUACUCGGAAUCACUGGGCGUAAAGGGCGCGCAGGCGGUCUUUUAAGUUGGAUGUGAAAGCCUACGGCUCAACCGUAGAACUGCAUCCAAAACUAUUAGACUAGAGUGUGGGAGAGGAAGAUGGAAUUAGUUGUGUAGGGGUAAAAUCCGUAGAGAUAACUAGGAAUACCAAAAGCGAAGGCAAUCUUCUGGAACACUACUGACGCUGAGGCGCGAAAGCGUGGGGAGCAAACAGGAUUAGAAACCCUAGUAGUCC
rnacentral:rRNA from 1 species